rnacentral:tRNA from 1 species
GCCAGAGUGGUGUAGUGGUUUGAGUGUUGGACUACAAUUCUGGCGACCAGGGUUCAAUUCCCAGCUCGGCCA